rnacentral:rRNA from 1 species
AAUAUUGGGCAAUGGGGGCAACCCUGACCCAGCAACGCCGCGUGAAGGAAGAAGGCCUUCGGGUUGUAAACUUCUUUGACGAGGGACGAAAAAAAUGACGGUACCUCGAAAACAAGCCACGGCUAACUACGUGCCAACAGCCGCGGUAAUACGUAGGUGGCAAGCGUUGUCCGGAUUUACUGGGUGUAAAGGGCGCGUAGGCGGGAUCGCAAGUCAGAUGUGAAAUGUCGGGGCUUAACCCUGGAACUGCAUUUGAAACUGUGAUUCUUGAGUAUCGGAGAGGCAGGCGGAAUUCCUAGUGUAGCGGUGAAAUGCGUAGAUAUUAGGAGGAACACCAGUGGCGAAGGCGGCCUGCUGGACGACAACUGACGCUGAGGCGCGAAAGCGUGGGGAGCAAACAGG